UUCGCAAUGCCCGAAAGGGUGACGAAGCGACGCCGCGUGUGGGAAGAAGGCCUUCGGGUUGUAAACCACUGUCGGGAGUUAAGAAAUGCAAGGAUAUUAAUAGUGUCUUUGCUUGACUAAGGCUCCGGAGGAAGCCGCGGCUAACUCUGUGCCAGCAGCCGCGGUAAUACAGAGACGGCAAGCGUUGUUCGGAAUUAUUGGGCGUAAAGAGCACGUAGGCGGCUAUGUAAGUCGGUUGUGAAAGCCUUCCGCUCAACGGGAGAACAGCAUCCGAUACUACAUGGCUUGAGUGCGGGAGGGGAGAGUGGAACUUCUGGUGGAGCGGUGAAAUGCGUAGAUAUCAGAAGGAACGCCGGCGGCGAAAGCGGCUCUCUGGCCCAUAACUGACGCUGAGUGUGCGAAAGCUAGGGGAGCAAACGGGAUUAGAUACCCCGGUAGUCCUAGCCGUAAAC
rnacentral:rRNA from 1 species